rnacentral:rRNA from 1 species
GAUGAACGCUGGCGGCGUGCCUAAUACAUGCAAGUCGAGCGAACAGACGAGGAGCUUGCUCCUCUGACGUUAGCGGCGGACGGGUGAGUAACACGUGGAUAACCUACCUAUAAGACUGGGAUAACUUCGGGAAACCGGAGCUAAUACCGGAUAAUAUAUUGAACCGCAUGGUUCAAUAGUGAAAGACGGUUUUGCUGUCACUUAUAGAUGGAUCCGCGCCGCAUUAGCUAGUUGGUAAGGUAACGGCUUACCAAGGCAACGAUGCGUAGCCGACCUGAGAGGGGGAUCGGCCACACUGGAACUGAGACACGGUCCAGACUCCUACGGGAGGCAGCAGUAGGGAAUCUUCCGCAAUGGGCGAAAGCCUGACGGAGCAACGCCGCGUGAGUGAUGAAGGUCUGCGGAUCGUAAAACUCUGUUAUUAGGGAAGAACAAAUGUGUAAGUAACGAUGCACGUCUUGACGGUACCUAAGCAGAAAGCCACGGCUAACUACGU